ACGUAGGUGGCAAGCGUUGUCCGGAUUUAUUGGGCGUAAAGCGAACGCAGGCGGGAAGACAAGUCAGAUGUGAAAGCCCUCGGCUUAACCGAGGAAUUGCAUCUGAAACUGCCUUACUUGAGUGCAGAAGAGGAGAGUGGAACUCCAUGUGUAGCGGUGGAAUGCGUAGAUAUAUGGAAGAACACCAGUGGCGAAGGCGGCUCUCUGGUCUGUAACUGACGCUGAGGUUCGAAAGCAUGGGUAGCGAACAGG
rnacentral:rRNA from 1 species